rnacentral:rRNA from 1 species
UGGGGGGACGCAGUAGGAUAGGCGAAGCGUGCGAUUGGAUUGCACGUCUAAGCAGUAAGGCUGAGUAUUAGGCAAAUCCGGUACUCGUUAAGGCUGAGCUGUGAUGGGGAGAAGACAUUGUGUCUUCGAGUCGUUGAUUUCACACUGCCGAGAAAAGCCUCUAGAUAGAAAAUAGGUGCCCGUACCGCAAACCGACACAGGUAGUCAAGAUGAGAAUUCUAAGGUGAGCGAGCGAACUCUCGUUAAGGAACUCGGCAAAAUGACCCCGUAACUUCGGGAGAAGGGGUGCUCUUUAGGGUUAACGCCCAGAAGAGCCGCAGUGAAUAGGCCCAAGCGACUGUUUAUCAAAAACACAGGUCUCUGCUAAACCGUAAGGUGAUGUAUAGGGGCUGACGCCUGCCCGGUGNNNNNNNNNNNNNNNNNNNNNNNNNNNNNNNNNNNUUGUCGGGUAAGUUCCGACCCGCACGAAAGGCGUAACGAUUUGGGCACUGUCUCAACGAGAGACUCGGUGAAAUCAUAGUACCUGUGAAGAUGCAGGUUACCCGCGACAGGACGGAAAGACCCCGUGGAGCUUUACUGUAGCCUGAUAUUGAAAUUCGGCACAGCUUGUACAGGAUAGGUAGGAGCCUUUGAAACGUGAGCGCUAGCUUACGUGGAGGCGCUGGUGGGAUACUACCCUAGCUGUGUUGGCUUUCUAACCCGCACCACUUAUCGUGGUGGGAGACAGUGUCAGGCGGGCAGUUUGACUGGGGCGGUCGCCUCCUA